rnacentral:rRNA from 1 species
AUGGGCUGGGCGAGCCGGCGCGGCCUCGCCGCGGCGCUCCUCCUCCACCUCCUCUUCCUCGCCGCUGCCCUCGGUGGGUGCGCCGCGACGAGCCGGAGGAGCGGCAGCAGCGGCGGUAGAGCAGCGCUGGAGCAGUACUCGUGGGAGGACCCUGCGGAGGCGGCGCGGCGGAGGGAGCUGGUGGGCCCGGGCUCGUCGCCGCCGACGUGCCGGAGCCGGUGCGGGCGGUGCCACCCGUGCCGGCCGGUGCACGUGGCCAUCCAGCCCGGCGUCAGCUUCCCGCUCGAGUACUACCCGGAGGCCUGGCGCUGCAAGUGCGGCGACAGGCUCUUCAUGCCAUGA